ACGCCAUAUAGUUUCAAGUUAAAGAAAAGUUGUCGUUGAAAAAUGCUUACUUUAUCGUUAUCACGGAUGUUUUGGAUGAAUAACAUCGGUUGCUCGGGCUAACUUCAUUCAUUUGCAUAAAAUGUCUGCGACUGAUGAGUACUGUUGCUAGGCGUUACAAAGAGAGAAGUUCCGGAAGAGCUGCCUACAAAAGAAAGAAACCCAGCAACUGGUACUCGCCGGUCCAAAAAAACCAACGAUCGGAGAGGACAGCUGAAAAGUUCUAGCGAAACAGAAAGAAUGGGUGACAAAACAAGUGAGCAAACUGACAAAGCCGCAACUUCAGGCAGCAAUUAGUGUGCCAGAGAGUGUGACAAAGCCAGUGCGUGUGCUGCUUGUUUUAGCAGCCCCGGGCAAUCAACCUGGAGAUGGUGCCCACGAGACCGAGAAAAGGAUUAAACUCCACGCUGGUAUGUGUGCGGCAACUGCCGGGACAUGCCAACACAAAGAGAAAGAGUUUUUGGGAAGUUCGUCUUUCUUAUACUGCUUUUAAAAUCUUAUCGAAACUAAAAUUCAACAUGUAUCUAAGACACUAGUGUAAACGUUAAGUAAAGUAGUUAUAGAUAAACAAUUUUAUUAAAUGUCAUGUGUCAUUAGAAAAUAAUUGUACAUUAUUUAAUACUGCUGGUCAGUUCUUGAGAUAUUUACUGAGAAAUGGAUACCUUAUAACUCAUUUUCUACUGAUUACUGCUAACGUAGUCUUGUGAAGUUUCAAAGAACAGCAUUCUGAGUAUCAUCAUAGGGCUUUAAAUAUCUUAACAUGCAUGUAGUCACACACAGAUAGAACAAAUUGAAUUGGACGAUAUGAAAUAUGGGCAGUUUUCUUGUAUUAAACAGUUGUAAGAUAUUUUAAAUGCUGGCACAGUUUGUCUCUAUACCAAGUAAUUAAAAAUACCGAUACUAUUGUUAAGGUGAGUACUGAGUAUUGCUGAGUACUUGCUUGAAAAUUUGUACUGAAGUAAGAAUGAUGUUAAUUAGCUCAUCCCUGAAUAUUUCUUAUUUAAAAUCUUAGCCUAAGUA